rnacentral:rRNA from 1 species
GUGCCAGCAGCCGCGGUAAUACGAAGGGGGCUAGCGUUGCUCGGAAUGACUGGGCGUAAAGGGCGCGUAGGCGGUUUGGUUUGUUAGGUGUGAAAUUCCUGGGCUUAACCUGGGGGCUGCACUUAAGACGGCCAGGCUUGAGUGUGAAAGAGGGUCGUGGAAUUCCCAGUGUAGAGGUGAAAUUCGUAGAUAUUGGGAAGAACACCGGUGGCGAAGGCGGCGACCUGGUUCAUUACUGACGCUGAGGCGCGAAAGCGUGGGGAGCAAACAGGAUUAGAAACCCUGGUAGUCC